GCCACGUGCAACAGUACAGUGUCUUUGGACAGCAUUAAAUACUUACCUCUCAAGCAGAUGGCCACAUCGUUCAUAGGACCCAGCUUGUCACAGAACAAGGAUAGAAGGAACUAAGAUACUGAUAUUUUCCCUCUGUAUUAUUGCAGUUCAGCAACAUCAAGGAAGAGAACUGUGGGGAAAAAAUGAGAAACAUGAAAGAGAGAGAAGAGCUUUCAUCCUCAGAACAAGAAACAGACUCAGGAAACUCCCAAGGCUAACUAAAACUGAAAUGAAGAACUGUUUUCAGACUUCUAAUCAAAAAAAAAGGAAGCAUUUACUUCACAAGGUUGAAACUUUUGUUCUUAAGUUAGGCUACUGUUUAAAGUUAAUUAACAAGAUAAUGGUAGGUCAAUAUUAAGUAAGGAAUUCAUGUAAAUGGGAAUUCCCUAGCAGUGGGUACUCGUGUGUGAUCCCAAGUAAUCUGCAAAAAUGCUUUUCAGUGUUGGGUUUUUAUAUGCUAGGGAAAAGAGGAGAAGCUUCCAAAGCUGUUUCAAGAAGAGCAGACAGUAAGGAGGUAGACCACAAUGUUGUACUUUUUCACAGUGGAUAUGUGUGUGUUCUAAAACCUAUAAAGCAGAAAAGUCAAGUGAAGGCAGAUUUGCCUCCUCUGGAAACCCUUCCAGAGAAACUGGUGGCUUUCAGCAUAUUGCAAACAGAGCUUGAGCAGGCUUUAGGGUAAAAGUAGACACCUUUAUUAACUUUGUAAUGUGCAGUUAAUUUCUCUAAUCCUUAUUGCCGUUGCUGGUGAAGUAGAUCCUGUACGGAAGUUUUUGUAACCUGCUACAAGAAUGCAGCAAAAGAAGUAAGGUGACACAGGUGAAAUUCUGUCCAAAGUAUAUUUGGAGUACUAAACAACCAACUGUAUGCAUUGCGAAAUGUUAUUUACUUUCUUCUCAGCACAAUGCAGUUUAACUACAGUACAAUGUUAAUAAUAGGCCUCAAAACAUUGAUAAUGUAAGGUGAUUACUGGCCACACUCUCCUGAUAUUUGAUCAGUGAUCUAAAAACUAGGUUUCUCCACUUAAAGCAAAAUAUUUGAAAUAUUCACUUCCAGUUCCAUUGUGAAUAUAGGACAAAAAAUGUUGAAGAAGUUAUAGCAGUGACUUGACAGUAAAAAAAAAAUUCUGUAAAAUUGUGUUUUGCCGAGAUAUGAAUCCAAGUAAAGAUCAUAGAUUUCUUAUGCAGUGUACAGAAAAUGCUGCACACAUUUUUAAAGUUUGUUUUAGAACAGUAGGUUAACAGUGUACAUACCCAGCCCUUCACCCAGUCAAAAUCAAAACACCUGGAACAUUUGAUGCUCAUGGUGUGGACAAGUCUGCUAUUAAAAAUAAUGCAUUUACAGCUGAGAGAAUAGUAAAAUAAUAAUAAUAAUAAUAAUAAAAUCAGUGAAAAAUAAAAAGGAAGAAAGACUAAGUAGAUAAAAUAGAAUAAAAUAAAAAAAAAAACUAACUUUUAUACAGGACAAUGAAUUAAUUAAGGGAUUCAGACCUGGGAGAUUAUCAAUGGAGUGAAAGCAGUUCACAUGUUCUUAGGUACUAAGAUUUUACACAGUGUAGGUGUUAAAAUGAGAACUGUUGAUUAGCUAAUUGACAUCUUUGAUUUUGGAUACAAAUAUUUGAAAAUCUGUUUCUAUACACUGGCCAGAAUCCUCUUGCAAAUUGAGCUGAAAAUGCAACUCCAAACUUUUACAACUCCCUCUCAUUCUGUUUUCAUUCAGGUUCUUAAUAUCAUCUUUUCCAAAGGCAGUUUGCAUUAGCUUUAAAAGUUACCAGUGUAAUUAUUUUAGUUUACAGUUAUACUUGUUUGUUGUUGUACUUAAAGGAAAACAAGGAUGACCGAAUGGAUGUAAUUUCUUUUCCAUUUGCCAGAGCAGAAAAAUAGAGCGCUGCCUUAAUGUCAGAGGUACAAGGAUCAAAGCAAUAAUUCAUCCCUGAUAUAGCUUUCCAGAAGUCAAACGAAUUGCAUCAGAGAUAAAUCUGGCCAAUUACUAUUUCAAGGAAAGAUGGGGUAAUUUGAUUAAAGAGCUAUCCAACACCCCAAAAGUGAUUAAUUACUGAAAAAGUACUAAUCUUAAAAGCAUUGCUUCCAAUAGGUCAUGGAAUAUGUAGAAAGUAUUACUAAUGACCUCUUAAGCUUUUACUUUUAGCUACUUCAAAAUACCAUGUAAUUUCUCUCACUUAUCUUUUCAGUUCCUGCCGGUAUGAAUAAGUGGUGAUUCUUUUUCCUGACCUUGAUCUUCUGUUGGCAUUCAUGAAACACCUAUCAUAUAAUAAGGAAUUCAUUUGCACUUGUAAUGCUGAUUUAUAGUCAUUAGUUUUUUUGCUGUCAGUGUGUUCUUAAACAUGUUAAUUGGAAUGGGGAAAAAAAAAAAGGUGAUCUGGGGAAACUCUAUCAGUAAACGCUAUAAUUGAGUAGAACGUUUUAUUUGUUUUCGGAGCGUAGAUAUCUACUCUCAGUUUCAUAACAAUUUAUUCAACUGUGCUAUAAUAUUAGGCAUUCACAGAAGAAGUGACAGCAUUUCAUCUUAAAAUAUAUCUGUGGUCUUUUUCCCAACAUACAAAGAAGUUAUAUGGCAUUACUCCAGCAGGCUUCUUCUUGUCUGUUUAUUCCACACUUCCGUACUGUUAAAAUAGAAGUAGUAAAGCUAGCUGUCUUCCCGCAGGUACAGAUAAUGUUUCAUAAGCAUCAUUUCCAUAGGGAAAGAUCUUGUCAUAGAAAGUGCUGUGCUGAGAUGUGUUUUUAUUUAUACUUUGGCUUUUUUGUCUCAUUCUAAUUUAAAAUGUUCUGUUAGUAUAAAAGUUUUUCCCAGGACCAAGUGCUGCCGGGGUUCGUUUGAGUAAUUUGCAAUUUUGUCCUGGCUUCCAGUGCGAUAAAGUGUAAAUGUGUCUGCUUUUCUCAGCUAAAAAGAACAGAUAAGUCUACUUGACUAUUACUGCACUAAUUAUAUGAAGGUUUGUCUUCAAAAUCUGUUUCAUGUUUAUUCAAGGCUAGAAUCUGAUACCUAACUUCAUGUUCAAGAGUAUUUUAUUCCCAGAUAAGUAAACUGAAUGGUGUAAAGUACAAAUGCAUUCCUCUUCACAUCUACAAAUUAUGUUUUAAAGUUUUUUUUUCAUUAUAGCAGGUACAAAACCCAACUUUUAGCACAUUAUGCCUAUAUACAGCUUGUAUAAGUUAUCCGUUUAAAUAUCUUCUGAGAAGCUAAGGCAAUAUAGGUGAGUAGCUCUCCCAUCCUAUCAUUUAAUGCACAUCUCUAGGACUUUUCAGUCAUAUUUUCAAGUUCAGAAGUAGAUCUGAAGACUCCCUUGCUUUCUCAAAUUCUUCAUUAUUUCUGUCUUAUUUUUAUCAGUUUUCUCUAGCUCUUUCUGAGUCAUCUCUUUGGCAGAGAAAGUUUUAUAAGAUCAUUGAGGGACAGACUGCUCUCUCAUAGGUUAGUUUGGUAGGCUGUUAAAAAGGUGGGUUUUUUUUAAAAAAAAAAAGCUUUGCAAACAGUGGGUGUGGGUGGGUGAAGAAGUCAUGAAAGACAGAGGGAGUUCAGAAAGUAGGGCAGUUCAGGAGCUCAGAAAGUAGAAAAUGGUGGAGAAGGAGGAGGAAGUAGAACAGAGUAAAGCUGAAACAAGUAUAAGGACUAGACUGAUAAAAAUGAUGCAAAGGUAGUGAGUAAGGAAGAGAGGAAAAUCUUAAGUUAGAUGGCAUGUAGUAUGCCUUGAGUGUCUGGUUAGUCCUGCAUAUUCACAUCUACAGCUGUGCUAUCGAUCUUAUCAUAUCUUAAACCAGCUUCAAUUCUGUAGCAGCAUUUAUCUACUCUCAUUAAAAAACAGGUCCAAAAUCACAGUGUCCACCACCGACCUUUUGCUGAAACUGUAAGUUAACAAAGAAGACAUGUCAGCAUUGCCUUCCCCCGAUGUCAUAAAUGUAUGAUUAUCUUUCCACCAAUAAAUAUCUUCAGUUGUGGAACACCAUGCAGAUGUGUUGUUAUUAAGUGUAUCUGAUAUUAGUUCCUGGCCUUUUUGUUCAACUGGUGCUGUUUUUGAAGGGAGAUUUUGUGGUGAUUACAUGAUAGGACAGUGAGCUAGAUUUCCUGAGAUUUCCAUCAGACUGUGGAGCAGUUAUUAAGAGACUGUAAUCUGAAGCAUUAACAGCCCAGAAAUACAGAGGUAACAAUCUUUGUCUUAAAAGCCCACUGAGAGUUGCAGUUCAUGCAAUGUUCUUUGUCUCUUUCAUCAUCCUUUUAUAUGCAGGGAGUGCAGGUUGCUAAAUUUUCAGAGCCUUUUGUGUCGAUCUCUUCCUCCAAAAGGCCUUAAUUAAAGCUCUGUGGAAGUAAUGUGAUUCAGGUAAACUUUUAUUCUACCUUUAAGAAUUCCUCCAUAUUUUGCAGGAUUUGAUUUAAGCCAUCUAACCAUGUUCACAUGCUUCAGUAUUUAGUUGAAUUGCGUGCAGACUUCACCUGGCUUGGAGAAGUUUUAACCAAUUAAUUAUAUUCAGAUAUAUAUUCAGAUUAUAUUCAGCAGUGCCUGAAGGGCAGAAUAUCCCUUAAGAGAAUCAAGUGUCCAAAGUUUAUUUUUCUAAUGCAUAUUUUCUAAGUAGGAAGCUUUCUAUCUUGCGAAAUUGCAAAACCUUUUUGCUCCCUAAUCUGGUAUCAUUUUUGUCAGAAGUAUGCUUAGUAAUAAAGUAGAGGCAGGCAGCUCAGCACCACACAGCUGUUCACUUACUCCCCUUUCCCAGAGGAUGGAGAAGAGAGUUGGUUAAAAAAAGAAAAGGAAAAAAAAAAAAAAAAAAAAACAUGGAGAUAAAAAUAAAUACUAGGACAGAAAAGGAAGAGAAAAGGAACAUAAUAGUAAUUAUAAUAUAGUACAUAUGUAGAAAAUAAGCAAUGCAAUUGAGUAGCAACUGCUUGCACAGCCAACUCCCUGUGACUUUAUAGUUUUCAUAUUGUGUCGUAUAGUAUGGGACAGUCCUUUAGCAAGUUUAGGUCAGCUGUCCUGGUUCUGUCCACUUCCAGCUCCUUAUGCUCCCCUAGCCCCCGUGCUGGCAAAACAGUACAAGAAGCUGAGAAGCUGAAACAUGCUUGACCCAGUGCAGCACUGCUGCAACAACUAAACCAUUGGUAUGUUACCAACAUUGUUUUUCUUCUAAAGUCAAAAAGUAGCAUCAUGCAUCAUGCCAGAUGCUAUGAAGAAAAAAAUCAACUCUAUCCCAGCUGAAACCAGGACAAAUAAGAACAGCUUGAGGUAAGAUUCACCUAGCCAUUUAGCUGUUUGAUACAUGGAAGAGUGCAAAUCUGAACAUAUGAAGCAGUAGGUUAGGGUCCACAAUCUCAUUUCUGAAUUUAAUGUCCACGGUGUAAAGGUGCAAGUUCAGUAACUUCCAGUUUAUUAUGUUGUAUUUUACAGUUACUGAUGCUAAACAUAUAGGUCUAAUGGUUGUAUGCUUGAAUGACUUUUGAAAUACUAAUACCAACAAAAAAUAAGGCCACCCUGUAUAGAUUUUAUGUAGUUCUGAGGCAGUGCAUCACUCAUUCUGGUACAAGUCAUUUGAAUAUAUAUAGAAAAACAAAGUCCUGAGAGACUUUUAUAUUAAAAAAAUAUUUUUAAAUUUGAGACUUCAGACAUGUGCUGCAUGAGCCAAGUUUAAGGGUGAUUUACUGUUCUUUCAGAACAUGCUUAUCAGUUCAUAAAUUUAUGGUACAACAGCUUU